rnacentral:rRNA from 1 species
AUUGAACGCUGGCGGCAUGCUUUACACAUGCAAGUCGAACGGCAGCGCGGGCUUCGGCCUGGCGGCGAGUGGCGAACGGGUGAGUAAUGCAUCGGAACGUGCCCAGUAGUGGGGGAUAGCCCGGCGAAAGCCGGAUUAAUACCGCAUACGACCUGAGGGUGAAAGCGGGGGACCGAAAGGCCUCGCGCUAUUGGAGCGGCCGAUGUCGGAUUAGCUAGUUGGUGGGGUAAAGGCUUACCAAGGCGACGAUCCGUAGCUGGUCUGAGAGGACGACCAGCCACACUGUGACUGAGACACGGCCCAGACUCCUACGGGAGGCAGCAGUGGGGAAUUUUGGACAAUGGGGGCAACCCUGAUCCAGCCAUGCCGCGUGCGGGAAGAAGGCCUUCGGGUUGUAAACCGCUUUUGUUCGGGAAGAUAUCCUCUGGGCUAAUACCCCGGGGGGAUGACGGUACCGGAAGAAUAAGCACCGGCUAACUACGUG